rnacentral:rRNA from 1 species
GACGAACGCUGGCGGCGUGCCUAAUACAUGCAAGUAGAACGCUGAAGGAGGAGCUUGCUUCUCUGGAUGAGUUGCGAACGGGUGAGUAACGCGUAGGUAACCUGCCUGGUAGCGGGGGAUAACUAUUGGAAACGAUAGCUAAUACCGCAUAAUAGUAGAUGUUGCAUGACAUUUGCCUAAAAGGUGCAAUUGCAUCACUACCAGAUGGACCUGCGUUGUAUUAGCUAGUUGGUGGGGUAACGGCUCACCAAGGCGACGAUACAUAGCCGACCUGAGAGGGUGAUCGGCCACACUGGGACUGAGACACGGCCCAGACUCCUACGGGAGGCAGCAGUAGGGAAUCUUCGGCAAUGGACGGAAGUCUGACCGAGCAACGCCGCGUGAGUGAAGAAGGUUUUCGGAUCGGAAAGCUCGGUUGUAAGAGAAGAACGAGUGUGAGAGUGGAAAGUUCACACUGUGACGGUAUCUUACCAGAAAGGGACGGCUAACUACGUG